GCAGAGGUUACUUAGACACCCAGAAACUGAAAACAUAGUCACAGAGAGGAAGUGUCACACAUGGAAACUUGUCUGUGUCAGACCUCAGGCUGUCAGAGCGGGGGCCGGGGGCUCAGAGAGCUGAUACAAUGUCACCGAGUACAACCUCACAGGUCCUUAUUGUAACAAAUGGCUCCAACGCCUCUCUGGGCAUUUGUAGCAAUCAAUCUACUCUGGAUAAUUGUAGUGAUCAAUCUGUGAUGUCCUCUCACACACUGCUUCUGGUGGGAUACAGUCUUCUAAUGCCAGUCGGGGUGAUAUUGAAUGGAAUGUCCCUGUUUGUUUUCUUCCGCUGGCUCAGGCCAUUGACUGUGGUUGGAAUCUUCAUGUGUAACCUGGCUCUCAGUGACCUACUCUUCUCCCUGUCUCUUCCAUUCAGGAUCUUCUAUUAUGCUGAACACCAAUGGCCUUUCGGAGUAUUCCUCUGUCGUUUUUCUGGUUCUAUGUUUCACAUCAAUAUGUAUGGCAGCUGUUUGUUCCUGCUCUGCAUUAACGUGGAUCGUUACUUUGCUAUAGUACACCCUUUGCGCUUCCGCCAUUUUCGCCGACGCAAAGUGGCUCGUUUGACUUGCCUGGCAGUCUGGUUUGUCAUUGUAAGUGGGUCAGUGCCUGCGGCUAUUGUUCACACAUCAUCCGACUGUAUGAAUGGAGAUAAAGUGAUCCAUCGUUGUUUUGAGGCUUUCCUCAGCUGGCAUGGUACAGUCUUUCCCCUGAUGUUGGUGGCAGAGGUAAUUGGGUUCUUAUUGCCCUUGGGGGCAGUGUUAUAUAGCACUUGCCAUGUGUUUUGGGAGCUCUGCAGAGAUCAGAUAGGAGGUCGACGACGGCACAAGAAGACCAUUAGGCUGCUCAUUGUAAACCUUGGAAUAUUUAUCUUUUGCUUUGUUCCUUAUAACACGGUGCUUGUGGCAUAUGGGCUUCUGAGAGCAAAAGUGAUUGUAGAUCAUUUCAAUGUAUUGCCAGUAAUGAAACAAACACUUUCUGUUACUGUUCUGCUUGCCAGUACAAACUGUGCUCUCGACCCAAUGAUUUAUUAUUUCAGCACUGAUGGCUUCCAAAAUACUCUACGCCAUCUUAGUGGGAAGGGAAGAGACUCUGGGGUUGUGGUGUCAUCCAGCAAGAACACACAAAAUACUUUGGUCUCCACAAAUGCAAACUCUAGCAUUGACACUGAAAAAAAGGAUAUGAAAGAGGGCACAUGUACUAUCAGGGAGAGGGAGGUCAAUGGCAAAGAAAGAAAAAGAUUGAUAGAAGAAUCUGAGAUAUAAACAAUGGUGUCUUGAAGCAAAGAGUGUGGACACAAAUUGGCCAUAAAGUCGGAAGUAGAACUGAGUGUCUCAGGGCACAGGUUGAAGUUUCAUAACAAACCACAAAAGAGAGAGAGAAAAUGUGAGGACCUUGAAUUUAAGGAGAAAUGGUGAAAUUUAUGGAGUUUGUUGUGAGAAGCAAUGAAAAGUAAAGGGGCAUUAACUCCAUCAUGGCUCCCCGACCUGCUGUAAUGUAAGAAAAGGAGCAAUAACUCUCCCUCCAGCAAUGUCACCUUGCCUAACCUCUCAAGUUAAACCUAUCAGUGUCAUGUGUUCGAGCUAAAAGAAUAAACAUGAGUGAGAUCAUUAUGAUAAAACCAGGACCUUUUUAAAAAAGAUCCAAAGUAAGAAAAUAAUCCAAAAGCCCGAAAGAAUAUCAGGGGCUAGUGAAUAUUCUCUAAAUGGUGCCUACAGUCAAACUCCUGGAAGGAGGGGAUAACCCUCAAAUGAGUACAAAUAGAGAACCUUUAAUAGGAGGGGGACCUAAAUAUUAUUUAAGUCCCCCUCCUAUUGAGGGUUCCCUAUCUUUGUGCCUUUUAAAAAGAUACCAAAUAUAUUUUUAAAACCCUUUCAUAAUUGUUCGCUAAAGCGUGAAUUGUUGGGAUUUCACCAGGCCUUUGGAAAUGUUAAGUUUAUGUUUUUUCAUCUUUUUGGGGGUCUUUGCAUAUUUUGGUGUGGUGGCUCGGGGAUUGCAAGUGGAGGUGAAUUUUACUUACCUGAUGCUGUGUCCUGUAAGCACCACCAUCUUCAAUCUUCAGCUCAUGGUACUUCACCAGCCAGGUCCACGUUUGUGCUAUACACAUGUGAGACUGCAGGAGCCUCCGUAGAUAGUCUUGUCAUGAGCUAGCAACGGCUGUGUAAAGUCAUGAACCCUGAAGGCAGUAGCUCUGCCUUUUGUCGGGUUUUGUCAACUUGAGUAUUUACCAUAAGACAAUGUAGUGAUAUAUUUUGACUACAGUGGAAUUUCCAAUGAAAUUCCAGCAUAGUCUUUAUGAGCAUUUUUUUUUUUUUAAGGGUGCAGAGAGUAAAGCCACUUUAAGGCCAACGUACCCUAAAAAAGUGAAAAUGUGUUCCUAAUAAGCUUUAUUUUUAUAAUUUUUUACAAAAAUUUUUAAUUUCCCUUGCAACUCCCAUCACAGUGUGGUAAAUAACACUGACAGUGUAUAUUUGCCUCUAGUUGUACACUGAAAAAUAAAAGUGACAUGCUAUUUAGCAAUCCAUUUAAACAAACAAUGCACCUAUUUGUAAAAGAUUGUUAUAAAGUCAUAAGUAAAUAAAGCUUGUUUGACAGUCGUUGCUAGAGGGCAUGUAAUAUAAUGAUAAUUUAAAAUAAAAAAACAAGAAAAGCCAAUACGCCCAUUUUGCUACACGUAACAUUCUAGGAAAUUAAAUAUAAAUUAAUUUCAGCGUAGUGUUUCUUCCUACGCUUCUGGCUCGUAGAUCUGGCAGUUGUGUUCUCCAAGGGUUAAACGUAAGACACAUCUGUGUCUACAUAGAAAAACCACAAUGUCAAGCAGAUACAUGCAGACAUUUCAACAUGAAAGCUAAUGAAAACACAGGUAGUGGAGAAAACAUAGUGUAAUGCCGUUUGAACAUGUCUAUCACAAAGUGAACACAGCUCUGACACAAGUGAGUGGGUUGACGCACCUUAAAGUGACAAUACCAGUAUAUUUUGUGAGACCGAUAACCAGUGUAUGUAUAUGAUCUCAUUGGUGAUCCUCACACAUGUAAUUGUACCACACCAUUUCUUUUGCCUUUUGUGUUAAAGUGACAAUAAGCUGAAAUAUCAUUGUACUGUCUUCAUACAAUGCUGCAUGUUGUUAAAUGAAUGCGUUAUGUUUUUAAAACAUGCUGUCAAGAAAAUACUGUCAAACUAAAUAUGAAUUUACAAUUAUCUUUAACAAACUGUUAAUGUAUUUUGGUUAUGAAAAAUGCUACCUUUUAUUUUUUCCAUUUUUAUUAACGUAACACUGCCACAUCCCAGGAUUUUUAUUAUGUUUACGUAUCCCUAUAUUUAACAAAUAUCUGCUUGUGAGGUGUAAACAUUGAAAGGGACGCUAGAAGUCUAAAAAGCUAUUUUGUCCUCCGGCCCCCUUAUCUCCAGUUAAAAAGGUAAUUUAUGCACCUUUUUCC